CAGCCGUAAACUAUGCGCGUUAGGUGUACUGGUGACCACGAGUCACCGGGGUGCCGAAGGGAAACCGUGAAACGUGCCGCCUGGGAAGUACGGUCGCAAGGCUGAAACUUAAAGGAAUUGGCGGGAGAGCACCACAACGGGUGGAGCCUGCGGUUUAAUUGGACUCAACGCCGGAAAUCUCACCGGAUAGGACAGACAUAUGAUAGUCGGGCUGAAGACUCUACUUGAUGAUCUGAGAGGAGGUGCAUGGCGUCAGUGACU
rnacentral:rRNA from 1 species